CGGGUGAGUAACACGUGAGCAACCUGCCCCGAAGUCUGGGAUAACACCGGGAAACCGGUGCUAAUACCGGAUGUCUUCAUCGAGUCACCUGGCUUGAUGAAGAAAGAUUUAUCGCUUCGGGAGGGGCUCGCGGCCUAUCAGCUUGUUGGUGGGGUAACGGCCCACCAAGGCUUCGACGGGUAGCUGGUCUGAGAGGACGACCAGCCACACUGGGACUGAGACACGGCCCAG
rnacentral:rRNA from 1 species